CGACUCGGAGGAGAUCAUCCUCCCGGUUGCAAUCCUUAUUUCUGAAGUUCUCUACUAUUUCAGCAAUUACACUAUUGCUGCUCUGUUUAGCUUUGGCGUUCGCAUUUGCGCUUCCUGAAUUAGAUCAGCUGCUUAGUGGAGGAAGUAAUGGAACUCGUAAAGGGACUGAAUUCAGCAGUGGACCUCGGAGUAAACCUAAAGAGGAUAGUUUUGCUGAUAUGAUCGAUCGAGCACUUGAAAAAGAGUUUACUGAAAAUGAUAAGGAUGAAGUUAAUGAUGCGGGCAGCUUCAGUAAUAGUGUGGCCGAGCAGCAGGCGGUGUUGGAGACUGUGGCCAGAGUUAAGCCCAAGAAAAAUGACACAAAGAAAGAGGACAAAUCUUUUCAGCUUCAUCAUGUUUUUAAACUUGAUAAUGACCAUGGAGCAGAAGAAACUCCAACAUUAAUAGAUAGGAAGGACAAUGUCUUUAUCAUAUCUAAUUUCAAGUCCAAGUAUCCAGUAUUACAGUUAGACUUGAGGUUGAUAUCAGAUCUAGUAGUGGUCAUUGUUUCUGCAACAUGUGGUGGAAUUGCCUUUGCUUGUGCGGGUCAGCCGGUUAUAACUGGAUACUUACUAGCAGGAUCUGUUGUUGGACCUGGAGGUUUUAAUGUUGUCAGUGAAAUGGUGCAAGUUG
rnacentral:misc_RNA from 1 species